rnacentral:lncRNA from 1 species
UUUUAUUAUUCAUUUCACUAAUUUCUUUUGUUAAAUUAGUGACAAAGUUAAAAUUAAAGUAUACUAAAGUUAAUAUUGGACAAAGCUAGGUAGGGUAUCUGAAGUUUUUUGUAUAUAAUUUAACGAAAUAUUAAUGGAGGAAAAAAAAUCAGUGACAAAGUUAAAACUAAAGGAUAGUAAAGUAAAUAUUCAAUAAACCUAGAUAGGAUAUCUAAAAUUUUUUGUAUAUAAUUUAACAAAAUAUUAACAGAGGAGCCGACAAAAAGAAAAAAAUAAAACCACAGCGUACUAAAUUGAUGCACUUUAAACCACAGGGUACUAGAGUAAGAAAGUACGAAACCACAGAGUACUAAAUUAAUACACUUUAAACUAUAGAGUACUAAAGUGAAAAAAUACGAAAUCACAAAAGUGGUAUUUGAAGUUUUUGCUUUUUUUUUCACACAACUACUUUUC